rnacentral:rRNA from 1 species
UACGAGGGGGGCGAGCGUUGUUCGGAAUUAUUGGGCGUAAAGGGCGCGUAGGCGGUGCGACGUGUCUCCUGUGAAAUCUCCAGGCUCAACUUGGAGUCUGCAGGAGAAACUGUCGUGCUUGAGUACUGGAGAGGUGAGUGGAAUUCCCGGUGUAGCGGUGAAAUGCGUAGAUAUCAAGUGGAACACCAGUGGCGAAGGCGAGUCCCUGGACAACUCCUGACACUGAGGCACGAAAGCUAGGGGAGCAAACAGG